UACGUAGGGGGCUAGCGUUGUCCGGAAUCAUUGGGCGUAAAGCGCGUGUAGGCGGCUCGGUAAGUCCGCUGUAAAAGUCAAAGGCUCAACCUUUGAAUGUCAGUGGAUACUGCCGGGCUAGAGUCCGGAAGAGGCGAGUGGAACUCCUGGUGUAGCGGUGGAAUGCGCAGAUAUCAGGAAGAACACCAACGGCGAAGGCAGCUCGCUGGGACGGUACUGACGCUGAGGCGCGAAAGCGUGGGGAGCGAACGGG
rnacentral:rRNA from 1 species